CUCCAGAAAAAGUACUUUAAGUUACCUACAGGUGAUCCUAGUCAGAUCAACCAGUGGCUAGCAUUUGCCACCUUUUGCAGUUUCUUUCUCUUUCCAUAAGUACUUUCUUCUCUGAAUCAUUUGAAAGCAAAUGAAAACAGUAGCCUAAAGUGUCAGUUUCAACCAGAAAAUAACAGCUCUGAUUUCUCAUGGCUCAUACUCGUCUGAAACGACUCAGGUAGAGGCUGAGGAAGGCCGUGUUGUUUGUCUACCUGGGACUAGUAAAAAGAGAAGAGAAAGACAUUCUUGAUUUUGGUGACUAGAGUUGUAGAUGCUGGAAGCUUUGCCACUAACAUUGAUGAACCAGAUGCAUGUCACCAGCCCAUCACGGUGAUUCUUAAUGCCGGCACCAUGGGCCCGGCACUGCCACGUUUUCCAAGGAACCUGCCGGAGCUCCUGCGGAAGCUGCUCCUCAGGCGAUGGAGUCCCUUCGCUGGUAGGCCCUUCUUCAGUCACCACAGGAUGCCUGCCAUUCAUGAACAAGAAGGAGAGGACGGGCUUUGAAUAAAAAACAGGAUCCAGGAAAUAUUUGUGAGGCCAUUUGGACUUCAGUGUGAAAUGGUGUUAAAAGAUGAAGUCAUUUAUUCAAGAAGUAAACCUCUGCCACCUGGACUGUGCGCAGACAUUUCAUUGAUUUUGUUUAAUAAACAUUUUCUGGCUUUGGGAGGUGUCUCUCUUGGUAGAACACAGUGUCAAAGAUGGACAAGAUGGACACAUAGUCCAUUAUUUGGUAUUGUUUGUGUAUGGGAGCAGACCACAAAUUAAUGUUUGGAGAACAAUUUUGUCAUAACACACUGUUGAGGCUCAGUUGUACAGAACUGGAAAAGUCUUCAGCUUGGCACAUGUCCUGAUUCAGCCUUUGUUUAACAUAUAUUCCAAUCCGGAUUCUAUCUUCACUGGCUACAAAGACCACCUGAUACGUGCACCACGACACAGGAGCUGCUGGAGAGGGGGUAGUGUUAUCACCUCAAACCCACAGCCAUAUUUUUCAAAAGCCAGCUUAGAGAGAGGUGUACUGAUAGCUGCAUAGAGAACAUGCAGUCCAUCCAUUCUUCCCAGUGAUGUACAUUUCUCAAUCAGUAACCACGUGGUAUACCAGCCUUGAGUGUCACAUCUCCCAACCAUACCAAAUGGAUCACCUAACUGGAGGUGGGGGGGGCCCUCAGAAAUGAGAUUUCGUAUUUACUGUAAAAUUGCCUUAUUUUUUCUUUUGAGGUGGAGUCUCACUCUGUUGCCUGGGCUGGAGUGCAAUGGUGUGAUCACUGCUCACUGCAACCUCCGCCUCCUGGGUUCAAGCAGUUCUCCUGCCUCAGCCUCCCAAGUAGCUGCAAUUACAGGUGCAUGCCACCACUCCCAGCAAAUUUUUAUAUUUUUAGUGGAGACAGGGUUUCACCAUGUUGACCAGGCUGGUCUCAAACUCCUGACCUCAGGUGAUCUGCCCACCUUGGCCUCCCAAAGUUCUGGGAUUAAAGGUACGAGCCACCGCAACUGGCUGAGAAUCUUUUUAUUUGCUGAUUUGUCUCUUGUGUAUUUUCUUUGUUCAGAUGUCUCUUCAGAUCUUUUUCUCACUUUUAAAUUGUUUUUUAAUUGUUAAGAAUUUUCUGUCUAGUUUAGAUAUAAGCCCUUUAUCAGACAUGUGUUUUGCAAAUAUUUUCUCCUAGUCUGUGGCUUGUAUUCUGUCUCUUAACACUCAUUUUAUUUUUACUUUUGGAACUAAAGAAGAAGAAUGGUCAGCUUUCCAUUAUUCUUGUAACAGUAAUGGCAGAACCAAGUCUGCUAAUGCUACACUGAGCAAAGAAAGUCACCUGGUGAAGUCCAACAUUAAUGAAAUGGGGUAGUACAUGCAGGCAGCGUUGGGGGUGGGGAGGGAACAAAUGCUUCUUGAGAGUAAUAUAAUCUGCCAUACCAUCCAGGAACCUACAAUGGCUAUCUAUUACCUUAUUCUCUGGUUUGUUUAAUGUUCGAAUCUUUCCGAAAGAUCCUUCAACCUUUCUGGAAGAAUCUAAUCUGAUAACACCAUCAAAAACACAUUACUUCUUUUGGCAUAAUUUAAAUUGUAAGACAUCAUUCACAUUUAUCAAUGUUACAUAUAUAAGAACUCACCCACCAUAUUCUUCCUUGAGGAAUUACAGCAUGUAAUUCUAUAAUCAUUUUUAUAAUCGUCUAACAAUUUUAUAAUGGAUUGGUUGCUUACUAUCAAUUUUUUAAAAGUCAUGGCUUCUCCAGUCAUUUCUUGCUUAUCGAAAUUAUUUCAUGAGAUGGGUCUCUCCUUGUAUAUUUGAAAAUGAGGUUUGCUUCCUUCUACUUAAAAAACAACUUGAACAUACCUGUUUGGAUCACAUGGUCUUGUCCUGAUAACUUGGAAGAGGUUGCUUCAGCAUUGUUCUUAUUGUUGUGGUGGUUAUUAUUAAUAUUGUUUCAUAUUCUGUUUAAAAAAUUAAAAUUUUACACAAGACCAAUGUCUUCUUUUCAAUUCCAGUACAUUUUUCAGAAGUAACUAAUGCUAUUGGCUUUGUGCAUUGUAAUUUCAGACCAUUUUAUAUGUCUUUAGUUAUAUGUACAGUAUACACACAUAUGUGUCAUAUUAUUCCAUUUUUUCUAGCAUUAAACAUUGCUAUGGAAAACUCUCGGAAAAAUAUUUAUUUGAACAGAACUUUUUCUUUUCUCAGAUGUACCCUCCUUAGGAAUCUUUCUUUGAUCCUUGAAGUUUGGUAACAACUUUAAAUAUGUGUAUCCCAGCUGGGAGCAGCGGCUCACACCUGUAAUUUCAGCACUUUGGGAGGCCGAGGAGGGUGGAUCACCUGAGGUCAGGAGUUUGCCUGGCCAACAUGGUGAAACCCCGUCUUUACUGAAAAUACAAAAAGUUAGCCAGGUGUGGUGGCUGGCACCUGUAAUCCCAGCUACAUGGGAGGCUGAGGCAGGAGAAUCGCUUGAACCUAUAGAGACAAGGUUUCACCAUGUUGACCAGGCUGGUCUCGAACUCCUGACCUCAGGUGAUCCACCCACCUCAGCCUCCCAAAAUGCUGGGAUUACAGGCAUGAGCCAUUGCACCCAGCCAUACAGGAGCAAGUUUAAAAAUUAAAUAUUUAUUUGAAUAACAAGCUUACAUUGGAGCUGCAAUGUUGGCAAUCCAGAUUUUGAACACGGAUCACAAAAAGCAUGCAUAAAAUCCUACUGGCCCAGAGAACAAAACACUGCUCAGAAUUAAGCGAAAUAGCUGCUACUGUUAAGAAAACAGGCCUGAAAUCAAUAUACAAGAUUUUAAAAAAUGUAUUGGCCGGAUGCAGUGGCUCAUUCCUGUAAUUCCAGAACUUUGGGAGGCCAAGACAGGAGAAUCACCUGAGGUCAGGAGUUCAAGACCAGCCUGGCCAACAUGGUGAAACUCCAUCUCUACUAAAAAUAAAAAAUUAGCUGGGUGUGGUGACACAUGCCUGUAGUCCCAGCUACCUGGGAGGCUGAGGCAGAAUAAUUUCUCGAACCCAGGAGGAGGAGGUUUGCAAUGGCAUGAUCUCUGCUCACCGCAACCUCCGCCUCCCGGGUUCAAGCAAUUCUCCUACUUCAGCCUCCCGAGUAGCUGGGAUUACAGGCAUGUGCCACCAUGCCUGGCUACUUUUCUGUAUUUUUAGUAGAGACAGAGUUUCUCCAUGUUGGUCAGGCUGGUCUUGAACUCACAACCUCCGGUGAUCUGCCUGCCUCGGCCUCCCAUAGUGCUGGGAUUACAGGCAUGAGCCACCAUGCCUGCCCAUGAAAGCACUUUUAAAAAGAGAGCACCUCUGCUGCCUGGUCAUAUUCUGUACCUGUUCCCAAACCCUGAAACCAGUGAUGUCAAUGGCUGCGUGGGCAUUGAACGUGUACAUGAUUCCUGCAGCUUUCCUGUUGACCUGGACCAUGUUCAUCAAUGCUUUUUGGUACAUUAAUUCUACAUCUUCUUCGGUGACCACAGUUUAUGUUUAUUUCAUUUUUCAGGAAUAUCCAGCCACUGGUGCACAGCCAUUGCCACUUGUGCCCCCAGGGGAUCUUGUCAACUCCAGUAUGUCCCCCCAGCACUGUGUUAUCUGGCAUAAUAAAUGUAGUUGGGCUGUAGUUGUAGUGACUCCUCCCAAAACAACCCAGGAGUUUAAUACUGUUUGGCCACCGGUUACAGACAUUGCUGCCCCUUCCGCUGCGGCUUUAAAAGCCUAUCUAAUCGGCUGGGUGUGAUGGUGGCUCAGACCUAUAAUCCCAGCACUUUGGGAGUCCAAGGUGGGUGGAUCACCUGAGGUCAGGAGUUUGAGACCGGCCUGGCCAACAUGGUGAAACCCCAUCUCUACUAAAAAUACAGCAAAUUAGCUGGGCGUGGUGGCGCAUGACUGUAAUCCCAGCUACUCGGGAGGCUGAGGUAGGAGAAUUGCUUGGGUGGCAGAGUAAGACUCCGUCCCAAAAAAAAAAGUUAUCUAAUCAGGGACGUCACCUUUCCCUGCCAGUCAUUUUGUUACCAAUGAAAGAAAACAUAUUCAAAUCAAUUUUUAGUUCAGAAAAUGUUUCUUUCAUUGUAUCUUUGAAUUUUAUUGUUCUGCAUUUUUUACUUCAAAAACACCUACUAUAUGCAUUUUUUCUCUCGUUUCCUUUUUUUUCCAAGAAAUGUUUUUGUCCUUUUGAUUUUUUCACUGACCAUUACCAUUAUUUAUAUACCAUGUACCUGGAGAGUUUCCAAUGUUUCUCUUUGGUCUGAGAUACUUGCUAUGAUUUUCACUUUUUAAAUGCUCUUUUGAGAUUUGUUUUGUGGCCUAAAAUGUGGUCUAUCCUGGAGAAUGUUCUGUGAGCUGAUGAGAAGAAUGCACGUUCUGCAGUUGGUGGGUGAAAUGUUCUGUAAUUACCUGUGAGGUCCCUUUGACUUCUCUUGGAGUCAGUCUGGUCUGUUACUUUUCUGCCUAGAGGGUGUGUCUGUUGCUGAAAGUGGGUGUUGGAGUCCCCAGCUAUUAUUGUCUGUCUCUGUCUGUUGCUCGAAUAACUCUUACUUUAAUAACUGGGGCUCCUGUGUCAGGUGUGUUUACAUUGACAACUGUCCUACCUUCUUGCUGAAUUGAUCUCUUUAUCGUUUUAUAAUGACCUUUAUUUUCUAUUUUUGUGCUUUUUUGACUUAAAGCCUACUUUGUGUGACAAGCAUAGCUAUACAUACUCACUUUUGGUAACACUUUUCAUUUCUUAUCAUCUUCAUUGAAUCUCACUUCUUCACAUUUACCAAAAUGUCUACUUUUGAGCUGUGGCACCUCUUUGAAUCUUCAGAUCCACCACAUGCUGAUCAAGCCUUCCUUUUUGUCUGUACUCUGAGGAAUCCCAAACAGGCAUUUUUGCAAGAAAGUCUAGGAGGGAAACAUAAAUCUAUGUGUCAAAAAAAUGAACAUAGAAAAUAAUGUGUCCUGGUUAACAAAAGUUCUCAUUGUAAAGUGUUAGGCACAAGACUAUGGAAUUUCAUGUGCCAUAAAUAAAAUUGUCUUGAUUUGUCUAAAACUACAUUUUGUCUAAAACUACUUUUAAAAAUUACAUGUUACUCUAAUA
rnacentral:lncRNA from 1 species